rnacentral:lncRNA from 1 species
UUUUUCAAGAACAUAGUGAAAUGUGUUCCAAUGUUUCAACAUUUAUUUCAUUGACGUAGUCGUAGACACCAUUAUUAGAGGUGUUUAGGUAAGUGUAUGUUAAGUUUAUUAGCGGCGAAGGAAGCAUUGAGAGGUGAAGCCCAAGGCCCUUAAUAGCUUUUUGGUCCAUUACUAUUGUCAACUAUCUUUUCGUUCUAAAGUUGCGUAUUUUCACAUUUGAUCAGUUCACUAAGAAACGUGGCUUGGUUGUUCCACCGAGACUCGUCUCCACAAAAAGCUCCGCACAAAGAAAACAUGAAUGAAGAAUGAUCAAGGGAAAAUGCAUUAAGGUUUUCUCCUUUCCUAGCUAAUUGCUCCAUCCAUGGUCUCUUUUUUC